AAGCCCAAAGGAAGUUUUACAGAAUCCAGUCAGAUUGAAGCAAGACGCCAGAGCCGGAGUUUUGUACAUCCAUUUGCACAGUACUGUACAACAAGUUUCCUUUGCUGAGUUCCUUGGUCAGGGGUUAAACACAUUUUCUGUCCAGUACUGCAGUUGGAAUUUUCCAUCAACAUUUUUAUGGUGGCGCAGUGAGAAGUGCUCUCACCUCACAGCAAGAAGAUCGCUAGUUUGAUUCUCGACUGGAUCUGUUGGCAUUUCUGUGUGGAGUCUGCAUGUUCUCCCAGCGUUCGCAUAGGUUUCCUCCGGGUGCUCCGGUUUCCCCCACAAGUCCAAAGACAUGCGGUAUAGGGGAAUUGGACAACCGAUGUCCAUGUCAAAAGAGCGUCUAUUCUUUAAGCUCUCUUUACUUACCUUGGUGAGGAUGAGGCAUGCCUGGUGAAAGAAUACAUGGGCAACCAAAAAGAAGAAUUUUUGAAGGACCUGGCAACAACACCACCAUGGCCAUAUGUGUCAUCAAAAAGGAAAGAGGAGAUUAUGAGGACAUUGGCAUCGUUGUGGAUGGAACAGUGAUGGAACAGAUAAAAUCUGUUGCACAAGCCUGUGCACUGAUGUUGGGGGCAAUUUAUGUGCUUGAUUUGGCCUACCCAAAAGAACUCAAAUACUAUUACGAGUUUGCCCAAAAAGUACUUGUGCAAAUGAACACUGGAUGAAAGAUCAUCAUCUUCAGCUGAACCUCGCAAAAACGGAAAUGCUUGUAGUUUCUGCCAACCCGACUCUACACCAUAACUUUUCAAUCCAGAUGGAUGGGGCAACCAUUACUGCAUCCAAAAUGGUGAAAAGCCUUGGAGUAACGAUUGAUGACCAACUAAACUUCUCUGACCACAUUUCUAGAACUGCUCGAUCGUGCAGAUUUGCACUCUAUAACAUCAGAAAGAUCCGACCCUUCUUAUCUGAAAAUGCAGCUCAACUCCUUGUUCAAGCUCUUGUUCUCUCCAAACUGGAUUACUGCAACUCUCUACUAGCUGGGCUUCCAGCUAACUCUAUCAAGCCUCUUCAACUGCUCCAGAAUGCAGCAGCACGAGUUGUCUUCAAUGAACCUAAACGAGCACAUGUCACUCCGCUGCUAGUCCGUUUGCACUGGCUGCCAGUUGCUGCUCGCAUCAAAUUCAAAACUCUGAUGUUUGCCUACAAAGUGACUUCUGGCCUAGCACCUUCUUAUCUGCACUCACUUCUGCAGAUCUAUGUGCCCUCCAGAAACUUGCGUUCUGUGAAUGAACGUCGCCUCGUGGUUCCAUCCCAAAGAGGAAAAAAAUCACUUUCGCGAACGCUCACGCUCAAUCUGCCCAGUUGGUUGAAUGAACUCCCUAACUGCAUCAGAACAGCAGAGUCACUCGCUAUUUUCAAGAAACGACUAAAAACUCAACUAUUUAGUCUCCACUUCACUUAAUAAUCUGCAAUUGCCUAUUUGAAUAUCACACUAACUGUACAAAAAAAAAAAAAAAUUACUAACACUUCCCUUCUUAGACUUUACAGACCUGAAACUUGCCUUUAGUACUUAUUCAUUGUUGCUCUUAGUUGUGUAAAUUGCUUCCUUGUCCUCAUUUGUAAGUCGCUUUGGAUAAAAGCGUCUGCUAAAUGACUAAAUGUAAAUGUAACUCUGACAAGCUCUCUUCAAAGGUUCUCAGACUGGAAAACAGUGUGAUACUGUAAUUUUAAGCAUUGAAGUGUUGAUAAAUGCUCAACAACCAAAUGUAUAUCAUAUACAAAUAGCAGUUUAGUGUAGGAAUUGUUUAAUAAGUGAAUUCAGUUUUCUUUGUGUGCAAAAUUAAUUAGCUAUAGGAACUUGUUUUAAAUGGUGUGUAUGUGUGUGUGCGUGCGUGCGUGCGUGUGAGAGAGAGAGCAUGUGCAUUCUAUAAACUUUGUAUUUAUUCCAUUUCAUACAACUUGUAGUUGCUCAAUAUGUUAAUGAGUUAAUUUUUUAAGUUAAUUAGUUGAUUAUUUUGUGUAUUGGGGUGUGUGUGUCAUAAGGAUUGCAGUUUGCUCCAAGACUUCAUACAGUUUUCUUUUAUGUGUUGGUUUAAAUUAAAUGUGCUGUACAAACUGUUUAUUGUUUUAUGGUGUGCUGCUAAAGCAUUUAUAGGCAGUGAUUUAUGUUUUGUUAAAAAAUGCAUCUUAAAAGUCAUUAAAAUGAAUUCAAAACA
ensembl:processed_transcript